CUGGGAGAACCGCGAGAACGCACAUCCCAUUUUACCGCGAUAGGCAGUGUGCCGCCGAGAUCGUUAGCGUCAGGUGGCUUUCGCCGUGGCUCCCAGCAUCCCUUGAGCUCACCGCAGUAGCUGUGAGGAGGUGGCUCUGAAACUGCGGCCUUAGAGUGAUGUACUCAAAAUAAGACGAUGUGAUACCACAUUUAGGGAAGGCCCUCUUCCAGUGACUUCUGUUCUUAAGAGGAACAUUUGGACACAGACAUGCGGAGGAGGCCAUGUGAAGACAGAGGCAGAAACUGGAGUGAUCCACCCAGAAGCCAAGGAACAUCAAGUUUUUCCAGCAACCUCUAGAACCAAAGAGGUCUUGUGAGGCCCCGUGGACACCUUGAUUUCAGACUUCAAGCUGCCAGAACCAAUUUUGGCCUAUCCAAAGAUGGGAGCGAUUAACAUGUGGAAUGGAUUAAAUGUUCUAGACUUGCUUUUCAUGCAGUCUUGAAACUGGCAGCAGUAUGUGCUCCUGAAACAUAGGUGAGAAGGGAUCCCCCGACACACACACAUACCUCUCUGUACCUUCAUUCUCCCUCUCAUCCAUGAUUAUUUCCAGCAACCAGAAGCCAGUCUCAGCAUAUAUACCAGUCAUGACCUCAUAUGCUUUCUAUUUGUAUACCAUUACACUGCCAAGAGUCCACAAUGAAACAAGUCAGCAAGAAUAUCCUAAAUGCCUUCUGUAAGCUCAGUCUGUGUCAGAAGAUAGGAAAGACAAAUAUGUCAACAGUACUUCCUCUUCAGAGCUUAAAUAUAACCUAAGAGUCCUAUAAAUCUGAUUCCAAGGUUCUUCUUUAUCUGGGACCCCACCCCAACUCUGCUAGCCUCUGACGAACACAAACGUGCCAAAGUCUCUGAAGACCACAGUAGACCCUGUGCACAGGAGAAACAAUGCUCUUAUCUCAUCGAGGCACUGUGGGCGCUUUGCAGCCACACUGUGUUGGAUUGUUGGCUUGAGAUAGUGGCACAGAUCAGUAUCUUAUCCCCUGGAGCUGAAAGCUAUGCAGCCGGAAGAAGCAGGAGCCCACAACUCAGACUUCUAAAUCAAAGGUCUGUCACUGGUUGGAGCACGUUCACACAUAAUAAAAUCACCAUUUAAUGCUGUGCCGUCACUGAUAAACAGAAUACUGCUUCUGCCUGACCAGGCAAGACUGUGGGUAGAAACUGCUAUUAUUCACGGACUAGCUUAUUGGAGGUAGACAGUAACACAAUGAUGCUGUGUAUGGAGACAAACUGAGAGGCGGUUUUUCCACUUUCCCUGGUAGAUCCUUUUUAACAUAAGCCCUUGAAAAAAAAUGAGUGGAACCCUUGCAUAACAUUGUAUGUUCAUCUCAUCUUAAAUCAAAUAGAUUUCUUCAUCAGCACAGUAGAAAAUGACAGCUGAUGAAUUGCGGGUCCAGUUUGGAAA